UACGAAGGGGGCGAGCGUUGUUCGGAUUUACUGGGCGUAAAGGGCGCGUAGGCGGCCCUCUUUGUCGCGUGUGAAAGCCCCGGGCUCAACCUGGGAAUUGCGCGCGAAACGGGGGGGGCUUGAGUUCGGGGAGAGGAGCGUGGAAUUCCCAGUGUAGAGGUGAAAUUCGUAGAUAUUGGGAAGAACACCGGUGGCGAAGGCGGCGCUCUGGACCGAGACUGACGCUGAGGCGCGAAAGCGUGGGGAGCAAACAGG
rnacentral:rRNA from 1 species